rnacentral:tRNA from 1 species
UGCCCUGUAGCUCAGUUGGAAGAGCAGCGAGCUGUUAACUCGAUGGUCGCGGGUUCCAUCCCUGCCAGGGCAGUCA